AAAAAAUAAAAAAAAGCUCUCACCCUUUUUUUUUAGCCCUUAAGUCCGACCUCUAGCGCCGGCGAGCUCAAUGCUGUGGCUCUGCCACGCUCCGCCGUAGCGUCGUCGUACCGGAGGGCUAAAACCUAAAUCUUUUCCCCUUUUUAGAAAAACAAAAAAAUAAAACCCGAUUUGGGUGUUUUUAAAAUAAAACACAAAAGAAAUGGCCUUUCGGCCUCGGUAGUUACAACCCGAGUGAAACCCUAAGGGUUUCCGCGUUCUUGACAAACGGAGGAGAUCUUCGACGGCGGCAUAUGAUCCGUAUUCAGGUAUUUUGAACCCCUUUCUUCUUUUAUUUUUAUUCUAUUUUAUUUAUCAUAAUACGCAUAAAAAUCAAAGAAAUCGAAAAGAAACAGAAACAUAAAAAUAUCAACCUUUGAUCUCUCUGAUUGACUUUUGUGUUUGUGCUGUGAAAAUAAUAGUUUUCUUUUUUUAUCGAUUUUUCGAUCCCGGUUAUAGUGUAUCAAUGGCUUUUUUAUAGCCAUGAUAAAAACAAAAGAAACAAAUCUAUUUGAUUCGAUUUACAAAUCUUUUGAUUUCCUUUCCAUUUUUGCUAUUUGCUGUGCAGGUACGAAGAUCAUGCUGCGAUGCUUGGUUGCGGCGCUUGAGGAAGGCUGCGGUUUACCUUAGAAACCCUAAGGCUUCUGAAACUUCUUGGGCCACUGUUAAUUUUGGGCCUAUUCUGUUGUAAUUGCGUUUGAAUUAAUUGGGUCACUUCUUUGUCUUAUUAAUUUGGCCAUUCAGGCCCGUUUGUAAUUCGGGAUUUUUAGACUCGGGCAAAAUUGGGUAUUUACAUUAUUUUUAAAUUUUUAGUUUAAACAUUUAUUAAAGUAUAAAAAAUCUAUUAUAAAAUUGAAAUCAAAUAAAU
rnacentral:lncRNA from 1 species